rnacentral:rRNA from 1 species
AAUCAACGCUGGCGGCGCGCUUAACACAUGCAAGUCGAACGAGAAAGUGGAGCAAUCCAUGAGUACAGUGGCGUACGGGUGAGUAACACGUGGGUAAUCUACCUCUUGGUGGGGAAUAACCCUGGGAAACCGGGGCUAAUACCGCAUAAGCUCGGAAGAGGAAGCCCGAAAGGGGCCGAGAGAGGAGCCCGCGGCCGAUUAGCUAGUUGGUGAGGUAAGAGCUCACCAAGGCGAUGAUCGGUAGCCGGCCUGAGAGGGCACACGGCCACACUGGCACUGAAACACGGGCCAGACUCCUACGGGAGGCAGCAGUGGGGAAUCUUGCACAAUGGGGGCAACCCUGAUGCAGCGACGCCGCGUGAGCGAUGAAGCCCUUCGGGGUGUAAAGCUCUUUCGGCCGGAACGAUAAUGACGGUACCGGCAGAAGAAGCUGCGGCUAACUACGUGCCAGCAGCCGCGGUAAUACGUAGGCAGCGAGCGUUGUUCGGAGUUACUGGGCG